CUUCGUCUCAACCACUACACUUUUUACAAUGCAGAAGAUGACUCAAGUCUCCUCUUCAGUCUCGUCUUACGUAGCCAGUGAAGUUGGGUUGGAUGGCUGAUGGUUUAAAACACCUUGUUCAUACUGAUGGAUGUCAGAACACUGUACUUACUCACUAUAUUAAUAACGUCACACUAAUCACACCUGGUGUUCAGGAAUGGACGUAUACUCUGAGUGGCCUAAGAAGACAGAUGUGUGCCACCUGGAUUCAGGGUCUGCCACAUCAGUGAAGUUUUUAGGAAUUUUUCAGGAAAUUCCUUCCAAGUAAAGAACAUGUUGUUGAAAUAUUUACUAUGCAGUCC
rnacentral:lncRNA from 13 species